rnacentral:rRNA from 1 species
UACGUAGGGCGCAAGCGUUGUCCGGAAUUAUUGGGCGUAAAGAGCUCGUAGGCGGUUUGUCGCGUCGUGACCUGUCGGAAAACCUAAAGGCUCAACCUUGGGCUUGCAGUGGGGUACGGGCAGACUAGAGUGGCGGUAGGGGUGACUGGAAUUCCUGGUGUAGCGGUGGAAGUGCGCAGAUAUCAGGAGGAACACCGAUGGCGAA